GAUGAACGCUAGUGGCAGGCUUAACACAUGCAAGUCGAGGGGUAUAGUUCUUCGGAACUAGAGACCGGCGCACGGGUGCGUAACGCGUAUGCAAUCUACCUUUUACAGGGGGAUAGCCCAGAGAAAUUUGGAUUAAUACCCCAUAGUAUGUUAGAGUGGCAUCAUUUUAACAUUAAAGUUCCAACGGUAAAAGAUGAGCAUGCGUCCCAUUAGCUAGAUGGUAAGGUAACGGCUUACCAUGGCGACGAUGGGUAGGGGUCCUGAGAGGGAGAUCCCCCACACAGGUACUGAGACACGGACCAGACUCCUACGGGAGGCAGCAGUGAGGAAUAUUGGACAAUGGGCGCAAGCCUGAUCCAGCCAUGCCGCGUGCAGGAAGACGGUCCUAUGGAUUGUAAACUGCUUUUGUACAGGAAGAAACACUCCCUCGUGAGGGAGCUUGACGGUACUGUAAGAAUAAGGAUCGGCUAACUCCGUGCCAGCCGCCGCGGUAAUAC
rnacentral:rRNA from 1 species